UACGUAGGGUGCGAGCGUUAAUCGGAAUUACUGGGCGUAAAGCGUGCGCAGGCGGUUUUGUAAGCCAGAUGUGAAAGCCCCGGGCUUAACCUGGGAAUGGCAUUUGGGACUGCAAGGCUGGAGUGUGGCAGAGGAGACUGGAAUUCCUGGUGUAGCAGUGAAAUGCGUAGAUAUCAGGAGGAAUACCGAUGGCGAAGGCAGGUCUCUGGGCUGACACUGACGCUCAUGCACGAAAGCGUGGGGAGCGAUCCGG
rnacentral:rRNA from 1 species